rnacentral:tRNA from 1 species
CCUCCGUUAGCUCAGUGGUAGAGCACUUGACUUUUAAUCAAGGGGUCGAGAGUUCAAGUCUCUCACGGGGGACCA